AGCGUGCGAUUGGAUUGCACGUCUAAGCAGUAAGGCUGAGUAUUAGGCAAAUCCGGUACUCGUUAAGGCUGAGCUGUGAUGGGGAGAAGACAUUGAGUCUUCGAGUCGUUGAUUUCACACUGCCGAGAAAAGCCUCUAGAUAGAAAAUAGGUGCCCGUACCGCAAACCGACACAGGUAGUCAAGAUGAGAAUUCUAAGGUGAGCGAGCGAACUCUCGUUAAGGAACUCGGCAAAAUGACCCCGUAACUUCGGGAGAAGGGGUGCUCUUUAGGGUUAACGCCCAGAAGAGCCGCAGUGAAUAGGCCCAAGCGACUGUUUAUCAAAAACACAGGUCUCUGCUAAACCGUAAGGUGAUGUAUAGGGGCUGACGCCUGCCCGGUGCUGGAAGGUUAAGAGGAGUGGUUAGCUUCUGCGAAGCUACGAAUCGAAGCCCCAGUAAACGGCGGCCGUAACUAUAACGGUCCUAAGGUAGCGAAAUUCCUUGUCGGGUAAGUUCCGACCCGCACGAAAGGCGUAACGAUUUGGGCACUGUCUCAACGAGAGACUCGGUGAAAUCAUAGUACCUGUGAAGAUGCAGGUUACCCGCGACAGGACGGAAAGACCCCGUGGAGCUUUACUGUAGCCUGAUAUUGAAAUUCGGCACAGCUUGUACAGGAUAGGUAGGAGCCUUUGAAACGUGAGCGCUAGCUUACGUGGAGGCGCUGGUGGGAUACUACCCUAGCUGUGUUGGCUUUCUAACCCGCACCACUUAUCGUGGUGGGAGACAGUGUCAAGCGGGCAGUUUGACUGGGGCGGUCGCCUCCUAAAAGGUAACGGAGGCGCUCAAAGGUUCCCUCAGAAUGGUUGGAAAUCAUUCAUAGAGUGUAAAGGCAUAAGGGAGCUUGACUGCGAGACCUACAAGUCGAGCAGGGUCGAAAGACAGACUUAGUGAUCCGGUGGUUCCGCAUGGAAGGGCCAUCGCUCAACGGAUAAAAGCUACCCCGGGGAUAACAGGCUUAUCUCCCCCAAGAGUUCACAUCGACGGGGAGGUUUGGCACCUCGAUGUCGGCUCAUCGCAUCCUGGGGCUGUAGUCGGUCCCAAGGGUUGGGCUGUUCGCCCAUUAAAGCGGUACGCGAGCUGGGUUCAGAACGUCGUGAGACAGUUCGGUCCCUAUCCGUCGUGGGCGUAGGAAAUUUGAGAGGAGCUGUCCUUAGUACGAGAGGACCGGGAUGGACAUACCUCUGGUGUACCAGUUGUCGUGCCAACGGCAUAGCUGGGUAGCUAUGUGUGGACGGGAUAAGUGCUGAAAGCAUCUAAGCAUGAAGCCCCCCUCAAGAUGAGAUUUCCCAACUUCGGUUAUAAGAUCCCUCAAAGAUGAUGAGGUUAAUAGGUUCGAGGUGGAAGCAUGGUGACAUGUGGAGCUGACGAAUACUAAUCGAUCGAAGACUUAAUC
rnacentral:rRNA from 3 species